rnacentral:rRNA from 1 species
CCUACGGGGUGCAGCAGUGGGGAAUCUUUCACAAUGGGCGAAAGCCUGAUGGAGCAACGCCGCGUGCAGGAUGAAGGCCUUCGGGUUGUAAACUGCUUUUAUAAGCGAGAAAUAUGAUGGUAACUUAUGAAUAAGGAUCGGCUAACUACGUGCCAGCAGCAGCGGUCAUACGUAGGAUCAGAGCAUUAUCCGGAGUGGCUGGGUGUAAAGAGUUGCGUAGGUGGCAUAGUAAGUAGCUAGUGAAAUCUGGUGGCUCAACCCGGGCCGGCCGUUGAAACUGGGGAUCUUGAGUGGGCGAGAAGUAUGCGGAAUGCGUGGGGUAGCGGUGAAAUGCAUAGAUAUCAUGCAGAACUCCGAUUGCGAAGGCAGCAUACCGGCGCCCGACUGACGCUGAGGCACGAAAGCGUGGGGAGCGAACAGGAUUAGAUACCCUAGUAGUC